rnacentral:rRNA from 1 species
UACGGAGGGGGCUAGCGUUGUUCGGAAUCACUGGGCGUAAAGCGUACGUAGGCGGCUAUUCAAGUCAGAGGUGAAAGCCUGGGGCUCAACCCCAGAAUUGCCUUUGAAACUAGGUAGCUUGAACAUGGGAGAGGUGAGUGGAAUUCCGAGUGUAGAGGUGAAAUUCGUAGAUAUUCGGAAGAACACCAGUGGCGAAGGCGGCUCACUGGACCAUUGUUGACGCUGAGGUACGAAAGCGUGGGGAGCAAACAGG